rnacentral:rRNA from 1 species
GACGAACGCUGGCGGCGUGCCUAAUACAUGCAAGUAGGACGCAGUUGCGAACGGGUGAGUAACGCGUAGGUAACUGCCUAUUAGAGGGGGAUAACUAUUGGAAACGAUAGCUAAUACCGCAUACUCGUAGAUGGACCUGCGUUGUAUUAGCUAGUAGGUAGGGUAAUGGCCUACCUAGGCGACGAGACAUAGCCGACCUGAGAGGGGGAUCGGCCAAACUUGGACUGGGAAACGGCCCAGACCCCUACGGGAGGCAUCAGUAGGGAAUCGUCGGCAAUGGGGGGAACCCUGACCGAGCAACGCCGCGUGAGUGAAGAAGGUUUUCGGAUCGUAAAGCUCUGUUGUUAAGGAAGCGGUACUUAACCAGAAAGGGACGGCUAACUACGUGCCAGCAGCCGCGGUAAUUC